rnacentral:rRNA from 1 species
AGUGGCGGACGGGUGAGUAACGCGUGAGAAUCUGCCUUGGGGUCGGGGACAACCACUGGAAACGGUGGCUAAUACCGGAUAAGCCGAUUGGUGAAAGAUUUAUUGCCCGAAGAGGAGCUCGUGUCUGAUUAGCUAGUUGGUGAGGUAAGAGCUCACCAAGGCAGCGAUCAGUAGCUGGUCUGAGAGGACGAUCAGCCACACUGGGACUGAGACACGGCCCAGACUCCUACGGGAGGCAGCAGUGGGGAAUUUUCCGCAAUGGGCGAAAGCCUGACGGAGCAAGACCGCGUGAGGGAGGAAGGCUCUUGGGUUGUAAACCUCUUUUCUCAGGGAAGAAGCUCUGACGGUACCUGAGGAAUCAGCCUCGGCUAACUCCGUGCCAGCAGCCGCGGUAAUACGGAGGAGGCAAGCGUUAUCCGGAAUUAUUGGGCGUAAAGCGUCCGCAGGUGGCGAUUCAAGUCUGCUGUCAAAGCACGGGGCUUAACUCCGUAAAGGCAGUGGAAACUGAAUAGCUAGAGUGCCGUAGGGGUAGAGGGAAUUCCCGGUGUAGCGGUGAAAUGCGUAGAGAUCGGGAAGAACAUCGGUGGCGAAAGCGCUCUACUGGACGGCAACUGACACUCAGGGACGAAAGCUAGGGGAGCGAAUGGGAUUAGAUACCCC